UUUACAGUCAUGUAUCACGUAGUGCUUAAAACCAGCUGUUAAUCAAUGAACUAAUCGUGACAUAGUUAUUACAUGAUCCGUAUAAUUAAUGGUAUGCCAUCCUACGGCGCUGUUCAAUGAUAUAUAUAAGUCGGAACAUAGUGACUUCUCAGAAGUAUUAGUUUUAAUUUCGACUGGAGGAGCACUUCGAAUUAAAGAAAAAUGUUAAAAUUAUUCCCCCUACUAUUCAUCGUCGCAACCGCGAUGGCAGUCGACUCCGAAAAUAUUCGCCGAGCUCGCUCUCCAGGUGGCGGUGGUUGGCAAGGAAGUAGUAGCUUCGCUCCGCAAUCUGGUGGACAGACCCGAUCUUCUGGCAGCUGGAAUAGUGCAUCUGGUUUUGGUCGCUCUAUAGGACGUUGGGGAAAUUCUGAGAGACACGGUGCGAGAUCAUCGAGUUACAAAUCUAACGGAUUCAAUUCCAACGACGUCUCAGGCAGAUCUAGUUUCGGUUCAGAAAAUGUUCGUAAUUAUAAUACUUGGGAUGAUUCUGGAGUUGAUUAUCACUCAACCUGGUGAAGUUAUGAAUAACUUGUAUCGAGACGAGACCGAAUUAUAAAUGUUUCAAUGAUAAUGUAAAGAUAAACAAUAAAAUU